UCGCGUAUGACGCGGGCUGGACCUCUCGGGGUUACAGCCUUGCUGAAUUAUUCACCCUUGUCUUUUGCGUACUUCUUGUUUCCUUGGUGGGUUCGCCCACCACUAGGACAAACAUAAACCUUUUGUAAUUGCAAUCAGCGUCAGUAACAAAUUAAUAAUUACAACUUUCAACAACGGAUCUCUUGGUUCUGGCAUCGAUGAAGAACGCAGCGAAAUGCGAUAAGUAGUGUGAAUUGCAGAAUUCAGUGAAUCAUCGAAUCUUUGAACGCACAUUGCGCCCUUUGGUAUUCCAAAGGGCAUGCCUGUUCGAGCGUCAUUUGUACCCUCAAGCUUUGCUUGGUGUUGGGCGUCUUGUCUCUAGCUUUGCUGGAGACUCGCCUUAAAGUAAUUGGCAGCCGGCCUACUGGUUUCGGAGCGCAGCACAAGUCGCACUCUCUAUCAGCAAAGGUCUAGCAUCCAUUAAGCCUUUUUUUCAACUUUUGACCUCGGAUCAGGUAGGGAUACCCGCUGAACUUAAGCAUAUCAAGCCGGGAAAGG
rnacentral:misc_RNA from 1 species